AUGCACGCUGGCGGCGUGCCUCAUACAUGCAAGUCGAGCGAACGGACGAGAAGCUUGCUUCUCUGAUGUUAGCGGCGGACGGGUGAGUAACACGUGGAUAACCUACCUAUAAGACUGGGAUAACUUCGGGAAACCGGAGCUAAUACCGGAUGAUAUUUUGAACCGCAUGGUUCAAAAGUGAAAGACGGUCUUGCUGUCACUUAUAGAUGGAUCCGCGCUGCAUUAGCUAGUUGGUAAGGUAACGGCUUACCAAGGCAACGAUGCAUAGCCGACCUGAGAGGGUGAUCGGCCACACUGGAACUGAGACACGGUCCAGACUCCUACGGGAGGCAGCAGUAGGGAAUCUUCCGCAAUGGGCGAAAGCCUGACGGAGCAACGCCGCGUGAGUGAUGAAGGUCUUCGGAUCGUAAAACUCUGUUAUUAGGGAAGAACAUAUGUGUAAGUAACUGUGCACAUCUUGACGGUACCUAAUCAGAAAGCCACGGCUAACUACGUG
rnacentral:rRNA from 1 species